rnacentral:lncRNA from 1 species
UUUCUGGCAGGCAAAGAAAAUGAUGGGCUAAACCUGGUUCUGCAGGUAGCAAAAUUUCCCAGUUGAAUGUUUACCGUUCCGUUAUAUUGGCAAAAUUUAGUGAGCAACCAAACAGAAAUACUAAGUUGAUGUUACAAUAAUGUAUUCAAACAGUUAAAACUGUGUGAACAGAUAAUACAGAUAUUCCGCAUAACAAAUAAACAAACAAACACACUAAUCUAACAAAGACGCCAAAAAGAAAUGUAGUGGCAGUUUAUAGUUGAUUUAUCCCA